rnacentral:rRNA from 1 species
AUUGAACGCUGGCGGCAGGCUUAACACAUGCAAGUCGAACGGUAGCAGGAGGAAGCUUGCUUUCUUGCUGACGAGUGGCGGACGGGUGAGUAAUGCUUGGGAAUCUGGCUUAUGGAGGGGGAUAACGACGGGAAACUGUCGCUAAUACCGCGUAGUGUCGAGAGACGAAAGGGUGGGACUUUUAGCCACCUGCCAUGAGAUGAGCCCAAGUGGGAUUAGGUAGUUGGUGGGGUAAAGGCCUACCAAGCCUGCGAUCUCUAGCUGGUCUGAGAGGAUGACCAGCCACACUGGAACUGAGACACGGUCCAGACUCCUACGGGAGGCAGCAGUGGGGAAUAUUGCGCAAUGGGGGCAACCCUGACGCAGCCAUGCCGCGUGAAUGAAGAAGGCCUUCGGGUUGUAAAGUUCUUUCGGUAUUGAGGAAGGUUGAUGUGUUAAUAGUACAUCAAAUUGACGUUAAAUACAGAAGAAGCACCGGCUAACUCCGUGCCAGCAGCCGCGGUAAUACGGAGGGUGCGAGCGUUAAUCGGAAUAACUGGGCGUAAAGGGCACGCAGGCGGUUAUUUAAGUGAGGUGUGAAAGCCCCGGGCUUAACCUGGGAAUUGCAUUUCAGACUGGGUAACUAGAGUACUUUAGGGAGGGGUAGAAUUCCACGUGUAGCGGUGAAAUGCGUAGAGAUGUGGAGGAAUACCGAAGGCGAAGGCAGCCCCUUGGGAAUGUACUGACGCUCAUGUGCGAAAGCGUGGGGAGCANACAGG